GACGAACGCUGGCGGCGUGCUUAACACAUGCAAGUCGAACGGUGAAAGGGAGCUUGCUCCCUGGAUCAGUGGCGAACGGGUGAGUAACACGUGGGCAACCUGCCCCAGACUUCGGGAUAACGCUUCGAAAGGAGUGCUAAUACCGGAUACGAACUCCUUGGGCAUCCUUGGGGUUGGAAAGUUUUUCGGUCUGGGAUGGGCCCGCGGCCUAUCAGCUUGUUGGUGAGGUAACGGCUCACCAAGGCGACGGCGGGUAGCCGGCAUGAGAGGGCGACCGGCCACACUGGGACUGAGACACGGCCCAGACUCCUACGGGAGGCAGCAGGGGGGAAUAUUGCGCAGUGGGCGAAAGCCUGACGCAGCAACGCCGCGUGAGGGAUGACAGCCUUCGGGUUGUAAACCUCUUUCAGCAGGGAAGAAGCGAAAGUGACGGUACCUGCAGAAAAAGCACCGGCUAACUACGUGCCAGCAGCCGCCGUAAGAC
rnacentral:rRNA from 1 species